rnacentral:rRNA from 1 species
AUUGAACGCUGGCGGCAUGCUUUACACAUGCAAGUCGAACGGCAGCGCGGGCUUCGGCCUGGCGGCGAGUGGCGAACGGGUGAGUAAUGCAUCGGAACUUGCCCAGUAGUGUGGGAUAGCCCGGCGAAAGCCGGAUUAAUACCGCAUACGACCUGAGGGUGAAAGCGGGGGACCGAAAGGCCUCGCGCUAUUGGAGCGGCCGAUGUCGGAUUAGCUAGUUGGUGGGGUAAAGGCUUACCAAGGCGACGAUCCGUAGCUGGUCUGAGAGGACGACCAGCCACACUGGGACUGAGACACGGCCAAGACUCCUAAGGGAGGCAGCAGUGGGGAAUGUUGGACAAUGGGGGCAACCCUGAUCCAGCCAUGCCGCGUGCGGGAAGAAGGACUUCGGGUUGUAAACCGCUUUUGUUCGGGAAGAAAUCCUCUGGGCAAAUACCCCGGGGGGAUGACGGUACCGGAAGAAUAAGCAACGGCUAACUACGUG